UUCUUUUCAAACAACAGAAGCCCUACCUCUCUUCUAUCGUUACGGCUCCUAGACCGUGCCACUUGAUUGAAAAGUUUGCGCUUCGU
rnacentral:sRNA from 1 species